GGAGAUGUAGCUCAGUGGUAGAGCACAUGUUUUGUAUAUGAGAGGUUCUGGGUUCAAUUCCCAGCGUCUCCA